GAAUAGCAGCCUUGGGGAAAGUGAGCAGAUGCUUCAUCUCUGCAUGUAGAUACAGCUACAACCAGAAUCCAGUAGUGUAGCCAGCUUACGCUGCAUACAACAGCUUCUGUGUGCUAACAACAAGUGCUUUCUAAACCUAGAAGUGUCAUCUCCCUGUAAGAACUGGGAAAAUGGAGGCAUGGAGAACACUGGAAGCUGCCCAUGGUCACACAACUGCUACUAAAACACUGAGCCUUUGCAUCAUGGUCCCUGAAAGCAGUGGAUCAUGGCACACGUCUUCUAGCCCACGUGACAAAGGCUCUAGCCAAAAGGACCAGAUGGAAUGGAUUUUUCAGAUUUCCAGAAUGAAGCCCCACAACCACUGGACUUAAACUCACUGACUUGGAUGCAAGAACUCUCUUGUUGUCCCCGCUCUUUAGGCUUUUGAGCAAGAGGAAACACAACAGGCCAAAAUCUUUGUGGGUCUUGCUUGCUAAAGACAAUAUCUUCCUCAAAUCCUGAUGGACUAAGUAGAAAGCAGAGGUUAAUCUUGAAGGCUAUUGAACAUUCACAUCGCAGACGUAUGGUUCUACUGAUGGACUUCAACAACUCGAUGUACCCGUGGGUCUUGUCUUUUAGAACUCCUCAAGAGUCAACUCUGCAUGUUUGCGAUGAAGAAGAUGCUGUUAAUUGAACUGGGGAAGCUGCUCUCGCAUUGCAGCAAACAAAAAGCUCAGUUUCAAAGGACUAUAGUGGCUUCCUGGCCAUGCAUUAACGGCAAGCCUUGUCAGAUAUGGGCACACAAAAGCAGCUCAGACUGGUGGGAAAGAAGAGUCAUGUUGACAUGAAAUGCUGACCAAUGGCUGGAAACAUUCAGAAUAAGCAAAAAGAUGUUCUUCCACA
rnacentral:lncRNA from 1 species